CACAAGCGGUGGAUGAUGUGGUUUAAUUCGAUGCAACGCGAAAACCUUACCCACCUUUGACAUGUACGGAAUCCUUUAGAGAUAGAGGAGUGCUCGAAAGAGAACCGUAACACAGGUGCUGCAUGGCUGUCGUCAGCUCGUGUCGUGAGAUGUUGGGUUAAGUCCCGCAACGAGCGCAACCCUUGUCAUUAGUUGCUACAUUCAGUUGGGCACUCUAAUGAGACUGCCGGUGACAAACCGGAGGAAGGUGGGGGUGACGUCAAGUCCUCAUGGCCCUUAUAGGUGGGGCUACACACGUCAUACAAUGGAUGGUACAAAGGGUCGCCAACCCGCGAGGGGGAGCCAAUCCCAUAAAGCCAUUCGUAGUCCGGAUCGCAGUCUGCAACUCGACUGCGUGAAGUCGGAAUCGCUAGUAAUCGUGGAUCAGAAUGUCACGGUGAAUACGUUCCCGGGUCUU
rnacentral:rRNA from 1 species